GGGCGGUUAGCUCAUUUGGCUAGAGCGCGUCGUUGACGUCGACGAGGCAACAAGUUCGAAUCUUGUACCGCCCACCU
rnacentral:tRNA from 3 species